UACGUAGGGUGCGAGCGUUGUCCGGAAUUAUUGGGCGUAAAGGGCUCGUAGGCGGUUUGUCGCGUCGGGAGUGAAAGCACACAGCUUAACUGUGUGCUUGCUUCCGAUACGGGCAGACUAGAGGUAUGCAGGGGAGAACGGAAUUCCUGGUGUAGCGGUGAAAUGCGCAGAUAUCAGGAGGAACACCGGUGGCGAAGGCGGUUCUCUGGGCAUUACCUGACGCUGAGGAGCGAAAGUGUGGGGAGCGAACAGG
rnacentral:rRNA from 1 species